rnacentral:lncRNA from 1 species
GGCUUGCUCAUUUUGAUAGAUCACAAGUCUAAAUUUUACACGUUAAGAUAGUCGGUAAGAUAAAUUCGUUACAUAGUGUGCUAUUGACGUAAUGCGGUAAAUAUGGGGUCAGUAAAUUCCAUAUGGAAUUCCAUAUGGAAUUUACUGUCCAUAUGGAAUUUACUGACCCCAUAUAUACCGUGUUAGGUCACUAGCACACUAUGUAACGAAUAAUAUUUUGAUAGAUGCAAAGACAUAACAUAUUUUGAAACACUCGCUUAAUUAAGGAGAGUUUUGAGUUUUCAAUUGUAUUUGGAGAAGAGACAAGAACUCCAUUAACCGGACUGUCAAGAGGGAAUUUUAGCUAAGUUGUUAAAUAUGUCAUUAGUAUAUAUUACUUUAAAUGUAAUUAAUAACAAUACCUUACUUCAACCGGUGUAUGAUAUUCAAAAGUAUAAUACAAAAAUUGUUUAUCUGCUUUAUAUUUAUAAAUAUAUCAGCCUGAGAAAAGAAAAAUAUUAAUUUUCGCGCAAUAUCUAGAAAUUUGUCAUCCUUUCCAAAAACAAUUUAUGAAUUAGUAAGUGACGCCACACCAUGGCGGUUGAAUUUUUUAUUGAAAACUUAAGCAUUUGGUUUAUAAGAAUUAUUUAAAAAAAAAUUCUGGGCGAAGGAUGGCACCACUAAUUAAUUUUCAGAAAACUAUCAUGUAUAUAUUUUAAUUUCUGGUACUACAAGGCAAAUUCAAAAAUGGAGAAUGUCCAUAAAAAAACUUACCAAAUCAAACGUUCGACAAUAUCAACUUACUGAAUCUAACAGGGAAUAUAUUUCGUUUUGAGGGUCACGAAUAUGGAACUUUAAAAGGAAAACAGAGCAUAGGAUAGUUAAACUGACACAUUAUUCAUUUAACCAAGUUCGGUUAAAUCUGACUAAAUAUUUUAAAUCAAAUAAAAAAAAGUAAACGUCAGAACCAAUUCUGCUGUAUAAAUCUGUGAGUAAAUAGUCGUUUCCUUAUUCUAAGUAAGAAAAAAUAUUUAAAAAAUGUUCCUCUCAUAUUUAUGGUUCAAAGAGGUAAAGUUGAAGUUACCCAUUCGAAAAUUUGUAACGGGCGCCAUCAUUAAGUUGGUUUUCCUUAAUGUAAUAUCUAUCUAAUAGAUGACCAAGGAUACAUUUUAAUCGUCAUGAUCCCAAUCCCGUCCUCAUUUCAUUGAAUACAACAUCACCGAAUAAGACUUAUCACCGGAUGUGUACUUGCAUGAGCAACAUCAUCUUUGUUCAACCCGUCUUUUUGGAUGGGUGCUCACUCUUAACGUUUCUUCAUUGUAUUUUGUUGAUUUAUUCGUCUUUCUGUCGUUUUUCCCAUGCAAUUUUGUCAAGGCAUUGUAAUUUUAUUUUUGACUGUGAAUAUUCACCUGGUAUAUUUUGCCUCUUUUUUACGUUCCAUUAACAAAUUAACAUUUCCGC